rnacentral:rRNA from 1 species
UGUUUUCAAGAUUAAGCCAUGCAUGUCUAAGCACAAGCCGAAUAUGGUGAAGCCGCGAAUGGCUCAUUACAACAGCCUUUGUUUAUUUGAUCUUGAAAUCCUACUUGGAUAACUGUGGCAAUUCUAGAGCUAAUACACGCCCCGAAACUCGCGGCCACGCUGCGAGGCAUUUAUUAGUACAAAACCAAUCGGGUCCUCUGGUCCCGUAGUCUGGUGAAUCUGAAUAACUGAGCCGAUCGCACGGUCUUUGCACCGGCGACGUAUCUUUCAAGUGUCUGCCCUAUCAACUUUCGAUGGUAGUUUAUAUGACUACCAUGGUUGCAACGGGUAACGGAGAAUAAGGGUUCGACUCCGGAGAAGCAGCCUGAGAAACGGCUACUACAUCCAAGGAAGGGCAGCAG